rnacentral:rRNA from 1 species
GAUGAACGCUGGCGGCGUGCCUAAUACAUGCAAGUCGAGCGAACGGACGAGAAGCUUGCUUCUCUGAUGUUAGCGGCGGACGGGUGAGUAACACGUGGAUAACCUACCUAUAAGACUGGGAUAACUUCGGGAAACCGGAGCUAAUACCGGAUAAUAUUUUGAACCGCAUGGUUCAAAAGUGAAAGACGGUCUUGCCGUCACUUAUAGAUGGAUCCGCGCUGCAUUAGCUAGUUGGUAAGGUAACGGCUUACCAAGGCAACGAUGCAUAGCCGACCUGAGAGGGUGAUCGGCCACUCUGGAACUGAGACACGGUCCAGACUCCUACGGGAGGCAGCAGUAGGGAAUCUUCCGCAAUGGGCGAAAGCCUGACGGAGCAACGCCGCGUGAGUGAUGAAGGUCUUCGGAUCGUAAAACUCUGUUAUUAGGGAAGAACAUAUGUGUAAGUAACUGUGCACAUCUUGACGGUACCUAAUCAGAAAGCCACGGCUAACUACGUG